ACGUUGGAACAUCGAAAUUAAGCAACGUCGAGCCUGGUCAGUACUUAAAUGGGUGAUCACUUGGGAAUGCCAGGUGCUGUAA